rnacentral:rRNA from 1 species
UACAGAGGGUGCGAGCGUUGUCCGGAAUCACUGGGCGUAAAGGGCGCGUAGGCGGCUUGAUAAGGUUGCGGUGAAAGCCCGGGGCUCAACCCCGGGUCGGCCGUGGCAACUGUCGAGCUGGAGCACUGUAGAGGCAGGUGGAAUUCCGGGUGUAGCGGUGGAAUGCGUAGAGAUCCGGAGGAACACCAAUGGCGAAGGCAGCUCGCUGGGACGUGACUGACGCUGAGACGCGAAAGCGUGGGGAGCAAACAGG